UCCCAAAAUUGAGAGAGAAACAAUUCAAUUGUAGAAUUGUUAACAAAAUGAGCAAUUGGAGAAUUUGUAAUUGAGAGGUUUUUCCUUUCAGGUGUGUGAGAGUACUGGUGUAUUUGAGUUUUGCAAAGUGAGUUUUCUUUAUUCAAAUUUUGUACUCUAAUAAUUAUUAGUUAUACAAUUAUUUUCUCUUACUCUCGUGGAUGUAGGCAUAUUGCCGAACUACGUUAAAUUUUGUGUCUUUUAUUUUUCUGUGAUUAUUUUGGUGCACUUGAUUUUGCAUUUCGCUCACAACAAUCAUCGACCUAAAAUCAUCAAUAAAAUUCUCAUAAGAUAUAAUCAAGUCUCAAUCAUAAACUCUAAUGUCCUCAAAUAUCUCAUUUUAAACAGCUUCUAAACCCAACCUCAAAUGUCCUCAAUAUUCAGCCCUCAAAACAGAACAGUCC
rnacentral:lncRNA from 1 species